GUAUAAAUUCCCGUGUCUUGCGCUCCAAGUCCUUUUCUGGCGCGUGGUGCGGAGGUUGGGAAGCACUGAGGCCCUCAUGCUGUUGAAGAGGUCAGCACAUUUGAAGAUGUCUUGUCUUUGGAAUUGUCCAGCUUUGAAAGUCCCCCAGCAUGUGCGGUUGGAAUGGCAGUAUAUUCCUGAAAUAAGCGUGCGAUGUUCCUGAAGUUCAAGGCAUUCAUCCACACUGGAAAGUUCUCACAAAGUCCUGCCAGGUGCUUUCCCAAAAGCUCAAGCAGCCACAGAGGCAACAAGGACAGAACAGGUGAACAGCGGCAAAAGAAGGAGCACUCCCGUCCACCUCAUGGUCACUUAAAAGAAAAAUGGAGACUUGGGAAGAUGGUCAGAGGAAAACCAAGUUACAGCUGAGGUGCAGAAUGAAUGGUUCUAGCAGGAAUGUAGCUAAUUGCUGGCAUUAAUGAAAGAGAACUACAUUAGUGCAAGACUGAACAUUAAGUCUUUACCAGCUAAAAAGGAAAAUGGUAAUCUUGAAUAUUUUUCUGAUGGAGCAAGUCUCACAGCAGCAGCCUGAGUGAUGGAAACAAAGCAGUGAGAUCUGUGAUGUGCCAUCAGUAGUGUGUGCUUUGCACAUGCAUUGAACAAAAGUUCUUUAGCAUGGCGAGCAGGUUAGCAGGCAAUGCAAAAACUACAUCCUGAGAUAGGAACAAAAUUCUGCAGAAUUUGACUACUGUGUCAUAAUUUGAAAGUUGCAAGAAACAAUAUGAUUUCAGCCUUUGAUUAUACCUGAUCAUGUUAAGAUUUAAGAGAUAACAUGAAAAAUUCCAAUAAAAAUGUAUUCUUCGAA